rnacentral:lncRNA from 1 species
AAUAAGACCUUCACCAAGGGAAGGAUUAUUUAGUACGUCGUUACUCUUACCUCGGUAUAUCACAUGCAUAUGGCUGCCAUCUCCACUUGAUAUACCCAUCAUCUGGCCUCUUAUUAAGGUGACAAUCAAAAUCUCUAUCAAUAAUAGGACAUGAACCCAGAGGAUAAUGUGGCUUCGUGUCAUCUCUAACCCAUUCACCAUCAAAUAUAUCACAAUCCCCAUAAAAGUCCUUGCCGCGUCCAGUCAAUGAUUUUUCAUCAUUUGAACCAAUUCCACCAUUCCGCUCCACAGAUAAACCCCCUUUACCUUUAAUCACUGCAACUUUUUUUCUUUCACCAUUCCAUAAUCUGGCCUCUUAUUAAGGUGGCAAUCAAAAUCUCUAUCAAUAAUAGGACAAGAACCCGGAGGAUAAUGUGGCUUCGUGUCAUCUCUAACCCAUUCGCCAUCAAAUAUAUCACAAUCCCCAUAAAAGUCCAUGCCGCGUCCAAUCAUUGAUUUUCCAUCAUUUGAACCAAUUACACCA